GAUUGAACGCUGGCGGCAGGCCUAACACAUGCAAGUCGAGCGGAUGAAGGGAGCUUGCUCCUGGAUUCAGCGGCGGACGGGUGAGUAAUGCCUAGGAAUCUGCCUGGUAGUGGGGGAUAACGUCCGGAAACGGGCGCUAAUACCGCAUACGUCCUGAGGGAGAAAGUGGGGGAUCUUCGGACCUCACGCUAUCAGAUGAGCCUAGGUCGGAUUAGCUAGUUGGUGGGGUAAAGGCCUACCAAGGCGACGAUCCGUAACUGGUCUGAGAGGAUGAUCAGUCACACUGGAACUGAGACACGGUCCAGACUCCUACGGGAGGCAGCAGUGGGGAAUAUUAGACAAUGGGCGAAAGCCUGAUCCAGCCAUGCCGCGUGUGUGAAGAAGGUCUUCGGAUUGUAAAGCACUUUAAGUUGGGAGGAAGGGCAGUAAGUUAAUACCUUGCUGUUUUGACGUUACCAACAGAAUAAGCACCGGCUAACUUCGUG
rnacentral:rRNA from 1 species